AAAGUCGUAACAAGGUCUCCGUUGGUGAACCAGCGGAGGGAUCAUUACAGAGUUGCAAAACUCCCAACCCUUUGCGAACGAACUAGACAGUUGCCUCGGCGGGGAGCCCUUCAGGGGGCGGCCCGCCGGAGGACCACUAAACUCUGUUUCUAUAUGUAACUUCUGAGUAAAACCAUAAAUAAAUCAAAACUUUCAACAACGGAUCUCUUGGUUCUG
rnacentral:misc_RNA from 1 species